ACAACAGUGGACACACAGUUUAACAUGAUGGACUAUAGGACAGGACUGCUGCUGUUAACUAUCUGCUGGGCAGGUGUUGAUGGUCAGACUCUGACUCAGUCUGAACCAGUCAUUAAAAGGCCUGGAGAAUCUCACAAAUUGACCUGUACAGCCUCUGGAUUUUCACUCAGUAGCCACUGGAUGCACUGGGUCAGACAGGGUCCAGGAAAAGGACUGGAGUGGAUCGCUGCUGAUGCUAAUGAUGGCAGCAGCAAAUACUACUCUCAGUCAGUUCAAGGCCGGUUCACCAUUUCCAGAGACAACAGCAGACAGCAGCUGUAUCUGCAGAUGAACAGUCUGAAGACUGAAGAUUCUGCUGUUUAUUACUCAGCUGUUACUUACUAA